rnacentral:siRNA from 1 species
AAAGUGAAUUCGGGUCAUAUGGU